UGGUGAUGAUGACGGUGAUGAUGGUGAUGAUGAUGAUGUUGACUAUGAUCACGAUGAUGAUGAGCCUCAUUAUUAUCAUCAUCAUCAUCAUCAUCA
rnacentral:pre_miRNA from 1 species